rnacentral:misc_RNA from 1 species
CAAGAAUCGCCUUUCACGAAAUUAAGUGCCAGGCAGCAGCUUGUGACCAAGAUUAAUCAGUUGAAAGAGCAAUAUCGAGAUGAAAAUCUUAGCAUAAUCUUAACAGGGCAUAGCCUUGGUGCUACUUUAUCAAUUUUAGCUGCUUUUGAUCUAGUGGAAAAUGGUAUUACCGAUAUCCCAGUAGCUGCUUUUGUCUUUGGCAGCCCACAAGUUGGAAACAAAGCCUUCAAUUCCAGGCUUAACAAGUAUCCAAAUCUUAAAGUUUUGCAUAUAAAGAACAAGAUUGAUGUCAUUCCACACUAUCCAGGAAGACUUUUGGGCUACAGAUAUACAGGAACUGAGCUUGAAAUUGAUACUAGGAAAUCCCCGAACCUAAAGGACUCGAAGCAUACUGGUGACUGGCAUAAUUUGCAGGCGAUGUUGCAUAUAGUGGCAGGGUGGAACGGUGAGAAAGGAGAGUUCAUGCUGAGAGUGAAGAGAAGCUUGGCUUUGGUGAACAAGUCAUGUGAGUUCUUGAAAGAUGAGUGCAUGGUGCCAGGAUCAUGGUGGAUAGAGAAGAACAAAGGGAUGGUCAGAGGAGAAGACGGAGAAUGGACGAUGGCUUCUCCGGACGAGGAGGACCAGCCUGUACCUGAAUUUUGAUUGCCAAGAGAGCGUUUGCGUGGUUGCGUUGUCUUGUUGGUUCCCUUCCCCCACCAACCACCACACCACCCCAAACCCCACACAACCCCCCC